rnacentral:lncRNA from 1 species
AUGAAUAUGUCGCGGAGAUAUUGGGACUUCGCAAGGAGCUGAAAACCACCACUGCUGACCGUACUAAAGAGGUUGAAGGUUUGAAAAGUCAGCUAGCUUGCGAUAGAUUCUGGUAUGCGCGGUGGGUACUUAGAACCUCUUGUGGUUGAGUUCACUUGUACUUAUCAACUACCUAGGACUCUGCUUUUAUACCCUAAUGCGUGGUUGAACUCUGGCCGUGGCAACAGAGCAACUUUUUGGACCCAUAUCUAGGCUGAAGUGACCAGAUUGGGUUAAAUC